ensembl:lncRNA
UGAGGCUUCAACCUCAGCAGCACCUGCCAUGGUUGCCCUCAGUGCACCCCUGGUUACUACACCAACCUCAUCAGCCUGUUACUUCCUCAAUUAUUUUUAUUCCCUCUAAAGGAAAAAAAUCCAGAGAACUGAGUCAACUAGUGUAGAAAGAAGUAACCAUUGAACCUCACCUGCGCUGUGCACGAAAGGACUGUGGCCCUCUGAAGCACUUGGUUCUAAGGGUUUCCUUAUGCAACCCUUCUUCCCAGGACAGGUUAUCUCAAUGCAGAGUCAAUCAGUGCAGCCACCCAUCCUCUCCAAAACACGGCAAAGGCUUCAUCAGAUGUUCAGCAAAUGUUCAGGUCUUCAGCAAACAGGGAAGAGCUGUCACACUGAAAGCAUGAGAGAUUGCCUCUAUGUUCUGCUCUUUGCAGUGAGCAUUCUCCUCUUCGUCAUUAUCUACAGAGCUGGCCAACUGGAGGUCCACUGGUC